CAACCUCUCAAGCACGGCUUGUGUGUUGGGCCAUCGUCCCUCUUUGUGGACGGGCCUGAAAUGCAGUGGCAGCACCGAGUUCUGGUGUCUGAGUGUAUGGGAAUCUCUUAUCGCUCAAAGACCCAAUCGGCGCUGAUGUCAGAUUUUUAUCCA
rnacentral:misc_RNA from 1 species